rnacentral:rRNA from 1 species
UAUUCAGCCACCUUGAACUGAGAAUCGUCCAGAUCUACGGAGGCAGCAGUGGGGAUUUGACAAUGGGGCAACCUGAUCCAGCAUUCGCGUGAGGUGAAGAAGCUCGGUGUAAGCUCUUUUGUCGGAGCGAACGGUGUGGUGAAUAUCACGACUACUGACGGUACCGGAGAUAAGCACGGCUAACUACGUGCCAGCAGCCGCGGUAAUACGUAGGGUGCGAGCGUUAAUCGGAAUUACUGGGCGUAAAGCGUGCGCAGGCGGUUUUGUAAGCCAGUCGUGAAAUCCCCGGGCUUAACCUGGGAAUGGCGAUUGGGACUGCAAGGCUUGAGUAUGGCAGAGGAGACUGGAAUUCCUGGUGUAGCAGUGAAAUGCGUAGAUAUCAGGAGGAAUACCGAUGGCGAAGGCAGGUCUCUGGGCUGAUACUGACGCUCAUGCACGAAAGCGUGGGGAGCAAACAGGAUUAGAUACCCUGGUAGUCCACGCCCUAAACGAUGUCGACUGGUUGUUGGGGGUUUGACACCUUCAGUAACGAAGCUAACGCGUGAAGUCGACCGCCUGGGGAGUACGGCCGCAAGGUUAAAACUCAAAGGAAUUGACGGGGACCCGCACAAGCGGUGGAUUAUGUGGAUUAAUUCGAUGCAACGCGAAAAACCUUACCUACCC